UACGUAGGUGGCGAGCGUUGUCCGGAAUUACUGGGUGUAAAGCGCGUGUAGGCGGGAGGCCAAGUCUGUGGUGAAAUCGCUCGGCUUAACUGGGCGGGGUCCAUGGAAACUGGUCACCUGGAGGUCGGUAGAGGCAAGUGGAAUUCCCGGUGUAGUGGUGAAAUGCGUAGAGAUCGGGAGGAACACCAGUGGCGAAGGCGGCUUGCUGGGCCGGACCUGACGCUGAGACGCGAAAGCCAGGGGAGCAAACGGG
rnacentral:rRNA from 1 species